rnacentral:rRNA from 1 species
CGCUGACGAGUGGCGGACGGGUGAGUAAUGUCUGGGAAACUGCCUGAUGGAGGGGGAUAACUACUGGAAACGGUAGCUAAUACCGCAUAACGUCGCAAGACCAAAGAGGGGGACCUUCGGGCCUCUUGCCAUCGGAUGUGCCCAGAUGGGAUUAGCUAGUAGGUGGGGUAACGGCUCACCUAGGCGACGAUCCCUAGCUGGUCUGAGAGGAUGACCAGCCACACUGGAACUGAGACACGGUCCAGACUCCUACGGGAGGCAGCAGUGGGGAAUAUUGCACAAUGGGCGCAAGCCUGAUGCAGCCAUGCCGCGUGUAUGAAGAAGGCCUUCGGGUUGUAAAGUACUUUCAGCGGGGAGGAAGGCGAUAAGGUUAAUAACCUUGUCGAUUGACGUUACCCGCAGAAGAAGCACCGGCUAACUCCGUGCCAGCAGCCGCGGUAAUACGGAGGGUGCAAGCGUUAAUCGGAAUUACUGGGCGUAAAGCGCACGCAGGCGGUCUGUCAAGUCGGAUGUGAAAUCCCCGGGCUCAACCUGGGAACUGCAUUCGAAACUGGCAGGCUAGAGUCUUGUAGAGGGGGGUAGAAUUCCAGGUGUAGCGGUGAAAUGCGUUAGAGAUCUGGAGGAAU